UUAAAUCAAAUUUGUAUGGAGUUGGAACGACGGCCUACGUUUUCCGGCAGGAGCGCUGUUCCAACUGCAUAAAAAUUUGAGUUA
rfam:Bombyx mori DNA, contig: Bm_scaf30_contig18936, strain: p50T/Dazao, build 2, whole genome shotgun sequence.